GAUGAAGAACGUAGCGAAAUGCGAUAAGUAAUGUGAAUUGCAGAAUUCAGUGAAUCAUCGAAUCUUUGAACGCACAUUGCGCCCGGCAGUACUCUGCCGGGCAUGCCUGUUCGAGCGUCAUUUCAACCCUCAAGCCCUGCUUGGUGUUGGGGCCCCACGGCCGCCGUGGGCCCUGAAAGGAAGUGGCGGGCUCGCUACAACUCCGAGCGUAGUAAUUCAUUAUCUCGCUUAGGGCGUUGGGCGGCGCUCCUGCCGUUAAAGAACCAUCUUUAACUCAAGGUUGACCUCGGAUCAGGUAGGAAUACCCGCUGAACUUAAGCAUAUCAAUAAGCGGAGGA
rnacentral:misc_RNA from 1 species